AUUGAACGCUGGCGGCAGGCCUAACACAUGCAAGUCGAGCGGUAACACAGGGAGCCUGCUCCUGGGUGACGAGCGGCGGACGGGUGAGUAAUGUCUGGGAAACUGCCUGAUGGAGGGGGAUAACUACUGGAAACGGUAGCUAAUACCGCAUAACGUCGCAAGACCAAAGAGGGGGACCUUCGGGCCUCUUGCCCUCAGAUGUGCCCAGAUGGGAUUAGCUAGUAGGUGGGGUAACGGCUCACCUAGGCGACGAUCCCUAGCUGGUCUGAGAGGAUGACCAGCCACACUGGAACUGAGACACGGUCCAGACUCCUACGGGAGGCAGCAGUGGGGAAUAUUGCACAAUGGGCGCAAGCCUGAUGCAGCCAUGCCGCGUGUAUGAAGAAGGCCUUCGGGUUGUAAAGUACUUUCAGCGGGGAGGAAGGCGUUGUGGUUAAUAACCACAGCGAUUGACGUUACCCGCAGAAGAAGCACCGGCUAACUCCGUGCCAGCCGCCGCCGUAA
rnacentral:rRNA from 1 species